GAACGCACCUUGCACCCUUUGGCAUUCCGAAGGGUAUGCUCGUUUGAGUGUCAUUGUACUCUCACACUCCCGGUCUUUGGAUUGGGAGGUGGACUUGGGUGUUGCUGCUUACCGUGGCUCACCUCAAAUGGAUUCGUGCAACUCUUGGUUGGACAUAGUACGGCGUAAUAAGUGUUUCGCCGGCACCUCACUAGAGGGUGGCUGAUCGGGAGCUCUGUGCUUCAAACCGUCUUCGGACAAUGACUGACAAUUUGACCUCAAAUCAGGUAGGACUACCCGCUGAACUUAAG
rnacentral:misc_RNA from 1 species